GGAACCCGCCUCCCCUGCCCCGCCCGUUCAGGACUCGCCCAAACCGUUCAGGUCCUUGGUCUUUCGUCCCACUUUGCCCUGCUAGGCCAUCAGGUCCUCAUCCCCCUUGCUCCAAAUUUGGGGUAGGAAGACGACUGCAUCUUCUCUGGUCUGAUCGCUGAGUCAUAAGCUCUGGUAGCUGCUACUUAGAAAUCAUGGGCUCUCGGUGGAGGAAGAUUUUGCCUGAGGCCAAACUAUGUGACAUUGAGAGUCUGAACUAGAAACUCAGGAGACUUGACUCCUUGCGCGGUGCUCCUUCCCGUACCGCACGCUGCCCUUUGGCCGAAUCGGUUCUGCGUAGUCUCCUGGGCCACAAGCCUCGCUAGGACCUCUUCUCCAACCUCCCUGACUCAGUGGAGGGGUUAACCCAGAAGGGCGACUGGCGUCCCGGCGGAGAUCUGGCCGCGUUGGUUGCCCGCCAGGCAGGCCCUUCGCUUGCAGAACAAACCACAGCGCUGCCGCUGAGCCUAGCGCGGCUUUCGCAAACGUUGGUGGCCCCCCAAAGGGGCCCCGGACCCGGCGGUGUGCAGUUCUUUCCACGCCCCUGCUCCUGUUUUCUCCUCCCAAAUACCUAAAGAGGGGCAUCAGCAGCCUUUUCCUGAUGAGAAACCAAAGCCCACAGAAGUGAAGAGGCUUGCCCAAGGUCAUACAGCAGAUAAGUGGCCAAGGCAGAAUUCAAACACAGAUCUGACCCAUCCCAAAGUCGUCCCUCAGCUCCCUGUUAUUCUCUGGGUCUGAGAAAUGGAACUGCCAAUACCUGUGGCAUUCACAAGGACACAGAAAGAUGCAAGGAUUUGUCCAACGUCUCAUACACUGGUCAGAUCUGUCUGUGGUCUGAGUCAGAGACCCUGAAAGAGAAAAGGCAGCCCAGGGGGACCGUGGUUCCAGAGUCCUGUCCAUCACCUGCCCUGUCCUCCCAGGACAGCAGCCAGUGGAGACGGAGCCUUACAGAGGGAAUGGUGUGUGCGGCUGUGGCCCAAAGCAGGAUCUCUCCAUCAGCUGAGAGUGGGGUGGGACAGGAGGUCAAGGCCUGAGGGGUCUACUUCUAUCCCAGCCUAGAAGGCUCAAGGUCUUGCUAAGAGAUCUAACCCCGCCCUUUCAGUCUCUUCCUGGCACCCUGGCCUGGCACCCUCUAGGAUGCAAUGCUGUUUAAUAAUUCAGCAGAUGCAGACAAAGAUAGCAGCUCUGAAAAUAACCUAACUAAACCCCAGCCUCCAUCUCCUCUUUCCCCAGCAGACUGCCCUGCCCUUCCCCCAAGGUCUCUGGUCGCCCCAUACACCUGUCAGUGCCCCUGGCUGCCAAUGGGCACCUGGUUCAACACUCUUCCUCUUCCUUCUAGUCUUUCUCCUCCUUCUCCCCUCUCCUCCUCACCUCCAUGAGAACUCCAUUCUCAUAUUAAAAGCUUUUAUAUUAAUUAGAGCUUAAAGAAAUCUUGUGCUAGAAGUAGACUUGGGUUUAAUUCAUUAUGUGGACUUGAGCAAGUUCCUUCUCUCUAAGCUUCUGUUCCUACAUUUGUAAAACGAGGUCUCUGGAUUCCUAAAUGGGCAUGAACAAAAUGUUUAGGGGGUGGCAAUUAUUUGGCCAGGGGACUAGAUAUCUUUCCUAGGAAGACAUAACAGCAGUGGCAGCGUCAUCUCAGUCAGCAGCACUGCAGUCCAUCCUGCUGCUCCAUCUGGAGAGCCCACAGGUUUUCUUUGUUUUUAAUUUCUCUUGUGAUGAAAAUUUUGCCCUGGUUAUCAUUCCUGGAAUAAAAGGCUGUGACUUGUGUUCACAAUGGUUGUAGCAGGUUCCACAUGCUUUCGGCACUUCAUCACAUUUCUGACAAGUAGAAAUUUUACUUGUCUCUGGAAGUUGGAAAGAGUAAUGCCCCUUCCCCCUUGAAGCUUUGCUCAAAUCACCCCCACCUUCAUGGGUCUCGGUUUUGACAUGUCUAAAGUGGCCAGGUGUUAAAGGGUAAGUAGGACAAGGUAAGACUCCGUGAUCUCUAGAUUGUAGCUCCAAAAGGGGUGAGAGCGUGUCUGUUUUCGUGCAUUCAUUCCACAGCGUGAUUAAGCACUUACUCUGUACCAGCCACUGUGCCAGGAGCAAGGGGCACAGCAGUAAAUAAAAGCAGCACAAGCCCUGUCCCUCGAAGCUUACAUUUCAGAAAUCAAAAUAAUUAAAUCCUAAGAAAUGUGCCAUGAAGGAAUAAUAAAAUACCUGCUACUAUUUACUUAGUGCUUACUCUGUACCAGGUACUGAUCCUAUGAGGUACUAUUAUUAGCAUACCCAUUUUACAGAUGAGGACACUGAAGGACAGAGUGGUCAAGUAAAUGUGGCCAAGGUCACACAGUCAAGGAGUAACUGACCUGGGAUUCAAUACUCAGGCAGUCUGCCUCCAGAGCCUGUUUUCAACCACAAUGCCAUAGUGCUUUCUUAGAAACCACGAGCAAGGAAUAAACUGGUGACAUGAUAGAAAGAGGAGUUGAGGAGGGCAUCUCCUUAGGAGGUGACAUUUAAGCUGAGACCUGAAAGAUGAGCAAGAGUCAGUCAUGUGGAAUUGGAGAGAGAAAUUUCCCAGCAGAAAAAAUAGUAUGUGCAAAGGUCCCGAGACAGAAAAAUCAGUGUGUUUGGUGCCUGGUAAGCCAGCAGGGAAAUGGGGAGACCUGAGGUCAGAGGAGCAGGCUGGGCCUGGAGGCCAGGAUGAGGAUUUUGGAUUUUACUCUAAGUAAGUGCAAGGGAUGCAUUUGAAAGGUUUAAGAGGGGAUCAACGUGAUCUGAUUUGUUUUUAAAAGAUCGUGCUAUUUGCUGUGUUGAGAAUAAACUGAAAGGGAGAAAGAGGGAAAAAGGGAGAGCAGUUAGGAGAUUACUGCAGUAAUCCAGCUGAGAGAGGACGGUGGCUAGGCCAGGAGUAAUGGCAAGAGGUGGGAGGGGGGAUAGAUUUGAUUUUUAUUUGGUGGUGAACCGAGAGGACUUGUGGAUGGAUUAGUGUGGGGGUGAGAGAAUGCCCUCUGGGUUUGCGGAUGGAGCAGCAGGAUGGAUUGGGGUGCCCUUGACUGAGAGGGGAAAGACCAAGGGAGGCACAGGUUUAGUGGAGAAAUCAAGGUCAGGAGGUUUUUUUUCCUAAAUGAUAAUCGCUUCAUUAAAAAAAUAAGAACAAAAAGGAUCUACAGUAAUAGGCCAUUAUAUCACCCCAUUUUUUAGUCCAACUAAUAAAUAUUAUACUUCACAGAGGGUGUACAUUUACUUUUAAAGGUGGGAAAAUUAUUUGAAAUAACUGGGAUCUACACUGCAUUCAGAUAAGAUGGUUGGAGUUACUGUGCACUGGAAAAUGAAUAUCUAACUCGUAAAAUCAUGUGUAUUGAGUAUCAUCUAUAUGGAAAGGCAAAACUCAAUAAAAAUACGAUACAGAGAGGAAAAAACAUAUUUCUAGUAAAGGUCUACAUGCAUAGGGGAUAGGUAAACUUUUGGAAAGAAUUUUGGUUUGGACAGAUUUUGGAAACUAUUUUCUGUUUUUCUUCUCUAUUUUGAAUACUCUACUCACAGAAUACUUCACUUCUGACACUUCUGGUCACCAAAUGUGUGUGUGUUUUUCCCAUACCUACCAAUUCUCCGACACCAGCUGGGUGUCCUGCAAUUCAGUUCAAUUCUGACGCUAACCGGAGCUAGCGCAGACCACAGAGGUUAAGGGUUCAUUCCCACACGACUGCUCCCCACUUCAGACCCCAAUCGCAAGUAGCAGGUCCCCAGGUUACCCACAACUUCUGUCCAGCUUGGUUAUAAAUCAGAGGUUCCCAUGACCCCUCCUU